GAAAGAGAGCGAGGAAAAUGGGAGGGGCGAGAAAGAAAUAGCGCCUGCAGGAAAGCCAUAUGUUUUUAAUGGGCGGGACUUGGACAGAUAUGAGAAAACAUAUGGCUUUCCUGCAGGCGCUAUUUCAUUCUCGCCCCUUCCAUUUUUCCUCGCUGUCUUUCU
rnacentral:miRNA from 1 species